UUUGAAGUUGACUUCUCUUAGGAGUGGUUUCAGGGAAGAAGUGCAACCGCAAAGCGCGAUUCUUUUCUCUUUAAGGGCCCGUGGCAGCCUGGGGGCCCCCCUGGACAGGUGGCUCCCCUCAAAGCCCCAUGUUGGGGGGCAGGCCUGGAGCCGGGAGAUGCUGCCUGACGCCCACAACACGACCACCAGAUGAGCACCGUUGGCUGAACAGCAUCUCCUGCAGGACCCAAUGGCAAUGCUUUUUCGAGGCCCAUUGUGAUGUGGAAUUUGAGUGUCUGGAGGGAAAGAACAAAAAGAACGCUAACAGAGUCUCUGUCCAACUCGCUCUCAGAUGACAACUUACUGGACCGAAAAAGAAGGAAGGGAAGAAUGAAAGGAAGAAAUGAGGAGAAAUGGAAAGAAAAGAGACAGCUCGCAGAGUGUUGACCGAGCUCGCUCUCGGAUGUCAACAACUGGACCGAAAGGAAGGAGAGAAGAAAAAGAAAGACAGAAAGACAAACAAGUCUACGACUUUGAGAGCUUCGACCGAACCCGAUCACGGAACCGAUAACUCGGUAAUAGAAUCCAUACCAAACCAAUGGAAAGAAAACAAGGCCAACGUAUAAUGAAAUGGAUGUUUCUUUAUUUACAGUUACAGGGCAGAGGGGGUUCGUCAAUAUCCUUUGUAACCAUUUUCAUCAAAUGCCCUCUCUCUCUCUCUCUCUCUCUCUCUCUCUCUCUCUCUCUCUCUCUCUCUCUCUCUCUCUCUCUCUCUCUCUCUCUCUCUCUCUCUCUCUCUCUCUCUCUCUCUCUCUCUCUCUCUCUCUCUUCU
ensembl:lncRNA